rnacentral:rRNA from 1 species
CACGUAGGGGGCAAGCGUUGUCCGGAUUUAUUGGGCGUAAAGAGCUCGUAGGCGGUUCAGUAAGUCAGGUGUGAAACCUCCAGGCUCAACCUGGAGACGCCACCUGAUACUGCUGUGACUGGAGUCCGGUAGGGGAGCGGUGGAAUUCCUGGUGUAGCGGUGAAAUGCGCAGAUAUCAGGAGGAACACCAGCGGCGAAGGCGGCGCUCUGGGCCGGUACUGACGCUGAGGAGCGAAAGCGUGGGGAGCAAACAGG